rnacentral:lncRNA from 1 species
AUCGAAGCCGUAGUCACCAGGAUGUUGAAGUUACCUUCAAGCAAAGUUUUAAAACUAAAGAUCUGUUAUUAUAUUUUUAAAAUUAUUAGAAAUAUUAUUUUUGUACUUUUGUUAUUAGAAUAAGAUUUUGAAAUAAAAGCUAAGAACAAUGGUUAUUCUAUUUAUCUUUCUAAUAAAUUUUAUAAAAAUACUUACAUUGAUAAUGGUCUUUGUUGGGUUUUAGAGGCAC